AGCAGAUGAUGACACAAUAUUUGCUAUCUGAGUUAAUGAUUUGACUUUUCCACCAAGAUCGCUGAUGCU